ACUAGAAGGUCAUUACUUCUGGAAGGUCAAGAAGCACCAUAUGGAUGCUGUGGAAAGAACUUCGAUGUGAGAUGCAAACAAGGGUUUCUGCAGGAAGCAACAUGGAAAUGGAGCAGAGAGCUGCCAUGUGCUCAGGGCAAGACCAUGACGGAGCCAUGAAGAGGCCUGGAUCCUGAUUGCAUACCAGAGCAGGCAUCUGCCCUCAGCCUAGGCACAGGCUGGAUGUGCCAACUGCAUCUACCAGGGACACCUGUGUUCCACAGGGAAUGGGAAAGAUCCUUGGAAAACAACGGGGCGAGGUUUACUUCUUACCACCUUGGACAAACAGAAGUCAAAUAUAAAGAUGCAUGCAAUGGAAUUUCUAAGUAUUCAAACAGGCUGAAUAAACAAAUGGUUGGAAAGUGGUGUGGUUUUCUGCUCUCUACACAGUGCUAGCUCAGAUCCAGCAAGGUUUCUUAGAUUCCAUAUUGUCUGCACUUACAGGAGGGCUUGUGACAAACUUUUGGGCUUUUUUUUUUUUAAUUCCAUCGGCAGAUGAUAUCAACUCAAAUGCAUAAUGUGGUUUGGGUUAACACAUACCUCUGUGUAGCAACCUGAAAAUUUAGACCAAAUAGAAAGAGGUGUUCUUAGAGGUUUCAGGGCACUGGCUACUGCAAGUAAUGGAAAUCUUGUAACAAAACCACUUCGUGUAUUUCUAGUAAA